rnacentral:lncRNA from 1 species
CAUUUUGUUUUAAAUAGAGUCUGGGGGAAUAGGAGAAAACGCUGUAAACGCACAAGCACUUUGGUUGGUUAAAUUAGGGUUCCGACAAGAGCCGGAGCGGUGUGCCAAGUAAAAACUACAUUUCCCACCGGGCAGCGGGUCACGUCACAGAGGAACGACUGCGCAUGCGUUCAAGGUCCUCCGCGCGCGACUACGCUCAUAAAAGGAAAAAAAAAAGCGUGUGCGGUUCUCGACGUGCCGCCAAUCUUCGAACGCAGGUCCGUGAUCAUCCGCAGACUCCGAAAAAGCGUUCAAGGAACGCGCCUGCUUCCCUCGUCGCAGUUUCCAGCCCGAAGAGCUUGUUUUCUGCGAGACUUGGCACACCCAGGAACAGCGCUUCACCAGCCAUCUAGGCAUCCCUCAAUCCAGACAAGUUGUUACCUAGGAUUAACCAUCACACCUGGAAAUCUAGAGCGUGGAGCUUUGAGGUGCAGCACGUAAGCAGGUAUGCAGUGCAGCAGAAAGGUCCAGGAGCUCCCUGGGAGCUUGAGGGUGGGCUGAGGCGUGAAUGGGAGAAGUGACGAUGGUAGGCGUGGUAGUUUUUUGUUUGUUUGUUUGUUUUGUUUUGUUUUUUUUGAGAUAGAGUCUCGCUCUGUCACCCAGGCUGGAGUUCAGUGGUACGAUUUUGGCUCACUGUAACCUCCACCUCCCGGGUUCAUGCAAUUCUCCUGCCUCAUCCUCUAGAGUAGCUGGGACUACAGGCACCUGCCACCACACCUGGCUGAUUUUUGUAUUUUUAGUAGAGACGGGGUUUCACUAUGUUGGUCUCGAACUCCUGACCUCAUGAUCCACCUGCCUCGGCCUCCCAAAGUGCUGGGAUUACAGGUGUGAGCCACUGCGCCUAGCCCAGUAUGGUAGUUUUAUGGUGAAGAAAAGGAUAGUGAUUCAGUGAGUAUUUAUUGAGAACCCAGUGUGCCAGGCUCUGUGCUAGGUAUGGAGAAUAAAUUGAUCCCUGUCCUCGAAGACUGGACA